CACUCCUACGGGAGGCAGCAGUGGGGAAUUUUGGACAAUGGGCGAAAGCCUGAUCCAGCAAUGCCGCGUGAGUGAAGAAGGCCUUCGGGUUGUAAAGCUCUUUUGUCAGGGAAGAAACGGUGAAAGCUAAUAUCUUUUGCUAAUGACGGUACCUGAAGAAUAAGCACCGGCUAACUACGUGCCAGCAGCCGCGGUAAUACGUAGGGUGCAAGCGUUAAUCGGAAUUACUGGGCGUAAAGCGUGCGCAGGCGGUUUUGUAAGUCUGAUGUGAAAUCCCCGGGCUCAACCUGGGAAUUGCAUUGGAGACUGCAAGGCUAGAAUCUGGCAGAGGGGGGUAGAAUUCCACGUGUAGCAGUGAAAUGCGUAGAUAUGUGGAGGAACACCGAUGGCGAAGGCAGCCCCCUGGGUCAAGAUUGACGCUCAUGCACGAAAGCGUGGGGAGCAAACAGGAUUAGAUACCCGGGUAGUCC
rnacentral:rRNA from 1 species